rnacentral:rRNA from 1 species
CUGAUUAUAUUAAAGAGCCGCAGUAUUCUGACUGUGCGAAGGUAGCAUAAUAAAUUGUCUUUUAAAUGGAGGCUUGAAUGAAAGGUUGGACAAAGUAUCAUCUGUUUCUUAAAUAUUUAUUGAAUUUGACUUUCAAGUGAAAAGGCUUGAAUAAAUUAAAAAGACGAUAAGACCCUAUAAAUCUUUACAAUAAACAUGUUCUAUAUUUUAAUUUAUAAAUAUAUAAAAUAUUAAAUUUGUAUUUGUUUCGCUGGGGCGGCGUGGAUAUAUUAAUAAACUGUCUGUGUGUUAAAUCCAAUAAUUAUUGAUUAGUGAGAUUGAUCCUUAAAUAGAUUAAAAGAUUAAGAUACUUUAGGGAUAACAGCGUUAUUUUUUUUGAGAGUUCUUAUCGAAGAAAAAGUUUGCGACCUCGAUGUUGAAUUAAAGUAUCUUUAUGGUGCAGCCGCUAUAAGAGAGAGUCUGUUCGACUUUUAAUACUUUACAUGAUCUGA